rnacentral:RNase_P_RNA from 1 species
GUGAGCUGAAGCGCGAACGCUGCCACGGCAGAGGAAACUCCUCCCUCCAUACAGGAGUGCGAUCCGGAGAUGGAUAGUCGGAGACGGCUGGCAACGGAGCAGAAAAUGAUCCAACAUGGGGCACUAUGAUGGCAGUCCCUGAGGUUCCCAUGAACGGAGUGAAAGAAGCCGACCCGCACGGAGAAAGGCCAAACAGAGCCGCAGGACCUGUACCAGGCUCAGGUAGGCCGCAAAGCGAAAUGUCGCGAGAACAGAAGGAGGGUUACUCUCAGCACAC